rnacentral:rRNA from 1 species
AACGAACGCUGGCGGCAUGCCUAACACAUGCAAGUCGAACGAGUCCUUCGGGUUUAGUGGCGCACGGGUGCGUAACGGGUGGGAACCUGCCUUUAGGUUUGGAUUAACUCCCGGAAAGGGGUGCUAAUACCGGAUAUUGUCUUCGGUACAUAGUCUUAUAGCCCUUGGAUGGGCUUGCGUUGGAUUGGAUAGUUGUUAGGGUAAAAGGCUACCAAGGCGGGGAUCCAUAACUGGUCUGCGAGGAUAGUCGGCGACACUGGGACGGGGACACGGCCCAGACUCCUGCGCGAAGGAGCAGUGGGGAAUAUUGAACAGUGGGGGGUGGCCGGAUGCUGCAAGGACGCGUAAGUAAUGAAGGCCUGAGGGUUGUAAAGUUCUUUUACCCGGGAUGAUAAUGACAGUACCAGGAGAAUAAGCUCCGGCUAACUCCGUG